rnacentral:rRNA from 1 species
UACGGAGGGUGCAAGCGUUAUCCGGAUUCACUGGGUUUAAAGGGUGCGUAGGUGGGUCUGUAAGUCCGUGGUGAAAUCUCCGAGCUUAACUUGGAAACUGCCAUGGAUACUAUAGGUCUUGAAUACUGUGGAGGUCAGCGGAAUAUGUCAUGUAGCGGUGAAAUGCUUAGAUAUGACAUAGAACACCAAUUGCGAAGGCAGCUGGCUACACAAAUAUUGACACUGAUGCACGAAAGCGUGGGGAGCAAACAGG